UUCUCCCCUUAUUUCUUCCCCUUUUCUUCCGACGCCGAUCCCACCCUUUCCUCUUUCUCUCGGCGCCGGCCACCAUGAGUUCACCGCCAACAGUAGCCCUUCCCUCUGUCGUUGCCUCGUCGCCGCAGAGAUCUCAGUCUACUGCCGGCCUCUCCUUCUCUUCCUCUCCCGAGCGUCGGCCGCCGGCAAAUAUCCCGUGCCCUAGCGACCCGCGGCUCCCACACCCUCUCGAGACAUCGUCGGCCACUGGAAUCCAGCGCCGCUGCUGUGCCCUAAGUCCUCGUACUCCACUGCCACCACCGAUUGAUCGGCACAGCUCAAAGCCGCCGGCCACAGGAACCCUAAUGUCAACUCCUCCCUCUCUUCUUCUGGUCGCAGGCAUUUGGAGAUUGCCGAGCACUUGAGCAUCCCAGCCGUGCCCUAGCUCCGAGUCUAACUCAGCCAUCGAUCGCCUCUUCUGGCUCAAGAAGAUCCCUACCACAGUGUACAGGCUUUCUUGAGAUGAAUUGGUUGUUGGAUGGAUUCAUCACUGCUGGAGAAGGUGCCAAGUGUUGUGCCAGUGAGGUGUUGUUAGCCAUUGCAGCUCUAGCUAUGCUGUUCGUGGACGAUCCAUGGCUUCGGCCAACCUUCCGAUCUAAAGUCAUCCUUUGAUGGUGAGCUAUCAAC